rnacentral:rRNA from 1 species
UACCCGCAGCUCAAGUGGUGGUCAUUAUUAUUGGGCCUAAAGCGUCCGUAGCUGGCUUGUUAGAUGCCUGGGUAAAUCGAUGCGCUCAACGCAUCGAAUUCCGGGUAGACCGGCAAGCUUGGGACCGGGAGAGGCAUGGGCUACUCGCGGGGUAGGGGUAAAAUCCUGUAAUCCUGCGGGGAGGACCAGUGGCGAAGGCGCCAUGCUAGAACGGCUCUGACAGUGAGGGACGAAGCCCUGGGGCGCAAACCGG